rnacentral:misc_RNA from 1 species
AACCUUAUGGACCUGCGGGCGUAUACCUGCGGAGGGAUCAUUACCGAGUUUACAACUCCCAAACCCCUGUGAACAUACCUAUAUGUUGCCUCGGCGGAUCAGCCCGCGCCCCGUAAAACGGGACGGCCCGCCGCAGGAUCCACAAACUCUGUUUUUAUUGUAACUUCUGAGUAACAAAACAAAUAAAUCAAAACUUUCAACAAUGGAUCU